rnacentral:tRNA from 1 species
AAGGGAGACCUAAUUCAGGUAGGAGACGAAAAAAAAGUAGUCCCAACCAAGAAUCAAUCCCAAAAGGUCGGAGCGAGGCGAAAUUGGCUUUCAAACUAGGUUCUGGGUUCACACAAGACCUGAAUCAGGAACAAGGGCUAUUAGCUCAGGUGGUUAGAGCGCACCCCUGAUAAGGGUGAGGUCCCUGGUUCGAGUCCAGGAUGGCCCACCUGCACAGGUGGCAAAAACAAGAGAAGCGAGGAAUCAGCACCUUAUCUUAUCUAUAUAUAUAUAGGAGAGAAUGCUGGCCCUGAGUAAAGAGUCCAGAGGAACCUUGAAAACUGCAUAGAGCUAGGUGAAAAAGCCAAAAAAGAAGACCGCAA